UGGGGAAUAUUGGACAAUGGGCGAAAGCCUGAUCCAGCCAUGCCGCGUGUGUGAAGAAGGUCUUCGGAUUGUAAAGCACUUUAAGUUGGGAGGAAGGGCAUUAACCUAAUACGUUAGUGUUUUGACGUUACCGACAGAAUAAGCACCGGCUAACUCUGUGCCAGCAGCCGCGGGAAUACAGAGGGUGCAAGCGUUAAUCGGAAUUACUGGGCGUAAAGCGCGCGUAGGUGGUUUGUUAAGUUGGAUGUGAAAUCCCCGGGCUCAACCUGGGAACUGCAUUCAAAACUGACUGACUAGAGUAUGGUAGAGGGUGGUGGAAUUUCCUGUGUAGCGGUGAAAUGCGUAGAUAUAGGAAGGAACACCAGUGGCGAAGGCGACCACCUGGACUAAUACUGACACUGAGGUGCGAAAGCGUGGGGAGCAAACA
rnacentral:rRNA from 1 species